UUAAAAUAGCAUAACUGUCAAAAUUACUGCACACGCGAGUGCAUAAAGCAAAAUUUAUGCAUUUAUUUAAUGCACAACAACAGUAAUAUGAUCUAUUAGCAAUUCGAUUUCAAUUCCCAGGGCCUAAAAUCUUUUAUGCUUAAGAAUUGCAAAGUGAUUUCUUGGGAAAUUCCGAGUUUGCGUUUUUAUUGAUACACCCUGUACAUUCACCUGGUAUAUUUGUACAUCUUAUAACAAAUUGGCAUUUGUUCCAUAACAAAUGCUAAAUUCAAAACAAUGAGUUGACUGGAUUGCAUGCACGGAGAACAGUGGGAUUUU